CCCUGCCCCGGCGGUGCCCUGGCCGGGGGGAGGCCGAGCGACUCAGUUAGGGCCAGACCGGAGGGCGAGCUGCGGGUCAGCUGCCGGGGUCCAGCGAGGUUCUAGUCUGCGUGAGUCCCCCCCGCGCCCAGGAGCCACGCCACGAUGUUCGGCUCUUCGCGGAGCAGCUUUGAGGAAGACCCCUUCUUCUCAGACUCCUUUUCUUCUCACAAUGAAAACAUGCGUCAAAUGAUGAAAAGUUUGACUCAGCCUUUCGGACAGCUCCUCAGCGUCGCUGGUGGGCGAGGCCGUCGUGAGGAUGAUGAUGAUGAUGAUAAAGUUUCUUGUUCUGCGAGGAGCUGCGCCCUGGCUCCUUUUGGCACCUUUGGCAGUCCUUCUUCCCUUGUGCCUUUUGGUGGCUUUGGUGCAAUGAAUACAGAUGUCAGCCCUUUUCAGGCAAUGGACAGAAUGAUGUCACACAUGCGACACAAUAUGCAAGAUUUACAAAGACGUUUUAGUGAUAUGUCAGUCGACCCAGAAGGACACUCCUUUUGUUCUUCUUCCAUUAUGACCUUCUCCAAAAUAGGUAAUGAGCCUCCAAAGGUUUUCCAAGCUUCUUCUCAGACCCGAAGAGCUCCUGGGGGGAUUAAGGAAACCAGGAAAUCAUUGAAAGAUUCUGACAGUGGAAUCGAGAAGAUGGCUGUGGGUCAUCACAUUUAUGACCGCGCUCAUGUCAUAAAAGGGCUAAAAAACAACAAAACUGGCGACCAGGAGUUGAACCAAGAGUUCAUCAACAUGCGUGAAUCUGAUGCCCGUGACUUCAACGAUGAAUGGCAGAACCAGAUUCUCAAGCUCAUUGAGUCAGGAAAGAGAAACUUGGAAAGCUCCAGAUUGAGAAAUGGUCACUCUGACAGUUCAGUAAACUAUGAAGACAUUUCUAGAAGGCUGUAGGAGUUGGGAGGAAUGCUGCAGAAGGUGGAAGGCUUCACAGAACCAUCGCUGGAUCCAGCAGAAGGCCACAAAGGAGAGACCUCGCCAAAGAUCAUCCAUUGAAAGCCAGAGAAGACCAAGGGCUUUUGAGGAAAAUCUCCAUAUAAAGGGAUCAUCUGU